GAGUUUGAUCGUGGCUCAGAUUGAACGCUGGCGGCAUGCCUUACACAUGCAAGUCGAACGGCAGCACGGGAGCUUGCUCCUGGUGGCGAGUGGCGAACGGGUGAGUAAUGCAUCGGAACGUAUCCUGGAGUGGGGGAUAACGUAGCGAAAGUUACGCUAAUACCGCAUAUUCUGUGAGCAGGAAAGCGGGGGACCUUCGGGCCUCGCGCUCUUGGAGCGGCCGAUGUCGGAUUAGCUAGUUGGUGAGGUAAAGGCUCACCAAGGCGACGAUCCGUAGCAGGUCUGAGAGGAUGAUCUGCCACACUGGAACUGAGACACGGUCUAGACUCCUACGGGAGGCAGCAGUGGGGAAUUUUGGACAAUGGGGGCAACCCUGAUCCAGCCAUGCCGCGUGAGUGAAGAAGGCCUCGGUU
rnacentral:rRNA from 1 species